GAUUAGAUACCCCUGUAUUCCUAGCUGUAAACGAUGGAUACUAGGCGUAGCUUGUAUCGACCCGAGCUGUGCCGAAGCUAACGCGUUAAGUAUCCCGCCUGGGGAGUACGCACGCAAGUGUGAAACUCAAAGGAAUUGACGGGGGCCCGCACAAGCGGUGGAGUAUGUGGUUUAAUUCGAUGCAACGCGAAGAACCUUACCAGGGCUUGACAUGUCGCGAAUCUAGGGGAAACUUUAGAGUGCCUUCGGGAACGCGAACACAGGUGGUGCAUGGCUGUGGUCAGCUCGUGUCGUGAGAUGUUGGGUUAAGUCCCUCAUCGAGCGCAACCCUCGUCCUUAGUUGCCAGCCUUAAGUGGGGCACUCUAGGGAGACUGCCGGUGACAAACCGGAGGAAGGUGGGGAUGACGUCAAGUCAUCAUGCCCCGUACGUCCUGGGGUACACACGUA
rnacentral:rRNA from 1 species